UUCUUAUUGUAGAGGGGAGAUACACUAACAGAAUGGAAGGUUCUACUUCUUAUUGUAGAGGGGAGAUACACUAACAGAAUGGAAGGUUCUAGUUCUUAUUGUAGAGGGGAGAUACACUAACAGAAUGGAAGGUUCUAGUUCUUAUUGUAGAGGGGAGAUACACUAACAGAAUGGAAGGUUCUAGUUCUUAUUGUAGAGGGGAGAUACACUAACAGAAUGGAAGGUUCUAGUUCUUAUUGUAGAGGGGAGAUACACUAACAGAAUGGAAGGUUCUAGUUCUUAUUGUAGAGGGGAGAUACACUAACAGAAUGGAAGGUUCUAGUUCUUAUUGUAGAGGGGAGAUACACUAACAGAAUGGAAGGUUCUAGUUCUUAUUGUAGAGGGGAGAUACACUAACAGAAUGGAAUGUUCUAGUUCUUAAUGUAGAGGGGAUAUACACUAACAGAAUGGAAGGUUCUACUUAUUAUUGUAGAGGGGAGAUACACUAACAGAAUGGAAGGUUCUACUUCUUAUUGUAGAGGGGAUAUACACUAACAGAAUGGAAGGUUCUAGUUCUUAUUGUAGAGGGGAGAUACACUAACAGAAUGGAAGGUUCUAGUUCUUAUUGUAGAGGGGAUAUACACUAACAGAAUGGAAGGUUCUACUUCUUAUUGUAGAGGGGAUAUACACUAUAUGUCAUUCCAAGUGUCAGAUUUAGAUCAGAGAGAGUGUGUGUUUGGUCUAUCAGAGAGAGUGUGUGUUUGGUCUAUCAGAGAGAGUGUGCGUUUGGUCUAUCAGAGAGUGUGUGUUUGGUCUAUCAGAGAGAGUGCGUGUUUGGUCUAUCAGAGAGAGUGCGUGUUUGGUCUAUCAGAGAGAGUGCGUGUUUGGUCUAUCAGAGAGAGUGCGUGUUUGGUCUAUCAGAGAGAGUGCGUGUUUGGUCUAUCAGAGAGAGUGCGUGUUUGGUCUAUCAGAGAGAGUGCGUGUUUGGUCUAUCAGAGAGAGUGCGUGUUUGGUCUAUCAGAGAGAGUGCGUGUUUGGUCUAUCAGAGAGAGAGUGUGUGUUUGGUCUAUCAGAGAGAGAGUGUGUGUUUGGUCUAUCAGAGAGAGUGUGUGUGUUUGGUCUAUCAGAGAGAGUGUAUGUUUGUAUCCGGGGAGCUGCUACUGACUGGGAAGUCUCUCUGGGCUUGGGGGCUUAAUGAGGAUGUCAUGUAGCUGUGUGUGUGUGUGUGUGUGUGUGUGUGUGUGUGUGUGUGUGUGUGUGUGUGUGUGUGUGUGUGUGUUUCAGACCACUGACGCCCUCUCAGCCAGUAAACGCUGUGUCCAGAGACCCUGGGCUAGCCUAUAAUGAGGGUCUGCUGGGAAAGACAAGCAUUUGGUUGGAUUCAGGGCUGUUCAGUACAGUGGGGUGACUGGAGACGGCUGACUGUGUGUGAUUGAAUGGGGGGGUGUACGUGUGUGAGAAAGAGAGGGUAUGUGUAUGUGUGUGUCUUGCUUCGACUGUGUGAGUCUCCAAUGUGUGUUUUGACUCUGCAAUCACACAGCAUGACCCUGGCUCUCCUCUCCCUCCCUCGCUCUCCUCUCUCU